UCUUACAGCCAUACUGCUCUGAGUAGAUCCAAUCUCAUCUGAUCCAAGAAGCUAAGCAGGGUUGGUGCUGCUUAGCUUCGGGUAUCAGAUGCUAAGCA
ensembl:rRNA 5S_rRNA 5S ribosomal RNA